GCGGAUGAGAAGAGCUUGCUCUUCGUUCAGCGGCGGACGGGUGAGUAAUACCUAGGAAUCUGCCUGGUAGUGGGGGACAACGUUUCGAAAGGAACGCUAAUACCGCAUACGCCCUACGGGGGAAAGCAGGGGACCUUCGGGCCUUGCGCUAUCAGAUGAGCCUAGGUCGGAUUAGCUAGUUGGUGAGGUAAUGGCUCACCAAGGCGACGAUCCGUAACUGGUCUGAGAGGAUGAUCAGUCACACUGGAACUGAGACACGGUCCAGACUCCUACGGGAGGCAGCAGUGGGGAAUAUUGGACAAUGGGCGAAAGCCUGAUCCAGCCAUGCCGCGUGUGUGAAGAAGGUCUUCGGAUUGUAAAGCACUUUAAGUUGGGAGGAAGGGUACUUACCUAAUACGUGAGUAUUUUGACGUUACCGACAGAAUAAGCACCGGCUAACUCUGUGCCAGCAGCCGCGGUAAUACAGAGGGUGCAAGCGUUAAUCGGAAUUACUGGGCGUAAAGCGCGCGUAGGUGGUUCGUUAAGUUGGAUGUGAAAUCCCCGGGCUCAACCUGGGAACUGCAUCCAAAACUGGCGAGCUAGAGUAGGGCAGAGGGUGGUGGAAUUUCCUGUGUAGCGGUGAAAUGCGUAGAUAUAGGAAGGAACACCAGUGGCGAANNGACCACCUGGGCUCAUACUGACACUGNNNNGCGAAAGCGUGGGGAGCAAACAGGAUUAGAUACCCUGGUAGUCCACGNA
rnacentral:rRNA from 1 species